rnacentral:rRNA from 1 species
CAGCCGCAAGGCGAAGCUCAGAAUUUAAGCCCCAGUAAACGGCGGUGGUAACUAUAACCAUCCUAAGGUAGCGAAAUUCCUUGUCGGGUAAGUUCCGACCUGCACGAAUGGCGUAACGACUUCCCAACUGUCUCAACCGCGAACUCGGCGAAAUUGCAAUACGAGUAAAGAUGCUCGUUACGCGCAGCAGGACGGAAAGACCCCGUGACCUUUACUACAGCUUGGUAUUGGUGUUCGGUGUGGCUUGUGUAGGAUAGGUGGGAGACUGUGAAGCGGAUACGCCAGUAUUCGUGGAGUCGUUGUUGAAAUACCACUCUGGUCACUCUGGAUGUCUAACUUCGAACCGUGAUCCGGUUCAGGGACAGUGCCUGGUGGGUAGUUUAACUGGGGCGGUUGCCUCCCAAAAAGUAACGGAGGCGCCCAAAGGUUCCCUCAACCUGGUUGGCAAUCAGGUGGCGAGUGUAAGUGCACAAGGGAGCUUGACUGUGAGACUGACAGGUCGAGCAGGGACGAAAGUCGGGACUAGUGAUCCGGCAGUGGCUUGUGGAAGCGCUGUCGCUCAACGGAUAAAAGGUACCUCGGGGAUAACAGGCUGAUCUUGCCCAAGAGUCCAUAUCGACGGCAUGGUUUGGCACCUCGAUGUCGGCUCGUCGCAUCCUGGGGCUGGAGUAGGUCCCAAGGGUUGGGCUGUUCGCCCAUUAAAGCGGUACGCGAGCUGGGUUUAGAACGUCGUGAGACAGUUCGGUCCCUAUCCGCUGCGCGCGUAGGAAGUUUGAGAGGAUCUGACCCUAGUACGAGAGGACCGGGUUGGACGAACCUCUGGUGUGCCAGUUGUACUGCCAAGUGCACCGCUGGUUAGCUACGUUCGGGAUGGAUAACCGCUGAAAGCAUCUAAGCGGGAAGCCGGCCUCAAGAUGAGACUUCCAUACCUUCGGGUGAGAGGCUCCCAGCCAGACUACUGGGUUGAUAGGCCAGAUGUGGAAGCGCAGCAAUGCGUGCAGCUGACUGGUACUAAUAAGCCGAUGACUUGAUAAC